CCCGGGCCUUGUACACACCGCCCGUCACAUCAUGAAAGCCGGCUGUACUAGAAGUCCCCGCGCCGACCGCAAGGGGGUAGGGGCCCAAGGUAUGGCGGGUGAUUGGGGUG
rnacentral:rRNA from 1 species